CCUUCAUGAAGCCGGAAUUGCUAGUAAUGGCAGGUCAGCAUACUGCCGUGAAUACGUUCCCGGGCCUUGUACACACCGCCCGUCACACCAUGAGAGUUGGGGAUACCCGAAGCCUGUGAGCCAACUAUAUAGAGGCAGCAGUCGAAGGUAGAAUCAAUGAUUGGGGUGAAGUCGUAACAAGGUAAC
rnacentral:rRNA from 1 species